rnacentral:lncRNA from 1 species
AGAACUUCCAAUACUAUGUGGAAUAGGAGUGGUGAGAGAGGGCAUUCUUGUCUUUUUAUGGCUGCAUAGUAUUCCAUGGUGUAUAUGUGCCACAUUUAGCCAGACUGGUGAUGCAAUUGAGUAGUCAAGCCAUUCAGAGUAAUGACAUGAUUUAGAAGAUUUCACUUUAAGGAAAUACCUUGAAAGUCAGCAUCUGAAUAAGAAACAUCUUUUCAAAUCCUUCCUGUGUUUUCAUCUAAUGAUUCUUACUGUGGUGUAGUGUAGUUAAUGCAUUG